AUGGUCUCUCUUCACCAAAUCGCCGCGUAGGAGAAUGCGCGUUGCCUUCACCUGCAAUGUUUGCGGUCAAAGGACUACUCGCGCUAUCAAUCCACACGCCUACACAGACGGCACUGUUUUCGUUCAGUGCUGUGGAUGUAAUAUUUUUCAUAAGCUGGUGGACAAUUUGAACCUGUUUCACGAGAUGAAGUGCUAUGUGAACCCGAGCUUCAAUUAUAAAGAUGCAAAAUGGGAUGUUGGAUUCAAGUUGUUUGAUAUGGAUGAUGAGGAUAAUAGAAAUGAUUCGUUUCCAAUCUAAAGAGGUGAAUUUGAUUUUAGAAUGUAAAUUCGUUUCUUAUACUGGAACUGAUUUGUAUUGUGAUUGUAUAUAGGGUCUUACUGUUAUAUUAAUUGGUGGGUUAGUGUAAUUAAUAAGUCUGGAUGCAUUUGGAACUAAACUGCCUUUCAUACUUUGAAUUUGGAUAUUUAUAAUGGAAAAAUGGAACAAGGUUUACUUGAUGUUAAGAAUCCUGCUUUAGUGUUGUUUAUAGUGUUCAAAAAGUAAUUGCCCAAAAUAUGGUUGGUAUUUUCCCUCUUGCUUUCUUGAGAUCAUUUUGUGUUUUUUGAUAAUUUUUUUAGUUCUCUUGAAAUUAAGCACUUUCUGGCUUGUUCUCUAGAAGCUACAAGUUACUGAUUCAGAUAAAAAUUAGCCUUUUGUUCUUUAGUGAAAACAAAGAGUCUUGUUGAAAUGAUUAAUUAUUUUGAUACAUUUUGUGAAUUGCACAGGUGUUUCUCAAAUGCACUUUUGGUGGUAAAAUAUAUGCUUCUAGUGGAUAUUGAUGCAUAUGGCCUUAGAACAACUUGAUGAUAAGAAUGUAUGGGA
rnacentral:misc_RNA from 1 species